UACGUAGGGUGCAAGCGUUAAUCGGAAUUACUGGGCGUAAAGCGUGCGCAGGCGGUUGUGCAAGACAGAUGUGAAAUCCCCGGGCUUAACCCUGGGAACUGCAUUUGUGACUGCACAGCUGGAGUGCGGCAGAGGGGGAUGGAAUUCCGCGUGUAGCAGUGAAAUGCGUAGAUAUGCGGAGGAACACCGAUGGCGAAGGCAAUCCCCUGGGCCUGCACUGACGCUCAUGCACGAAAGCGUGGGGAGCAAACAGG
rnacentral:rRNA from 1 species